rnacentral:misc_RNA from 1 species
GCCCGAAAUAAUCAAUUAAGCACGAGAUGCACACCAAAUGGGAACACCUGUUGCUACUCCAUGAUAAUUCUUGUCGCCAGCAGGCACUCCCCAGGUUGGCUGCGACGACGAUGAUGAGAAAGAAGAAGAAGAAGAAGAAGAAGAAGAAGAAGAAGAAGAAGAAGAAGAAUACGGAUAACCAGACAAAUUCUUUCUCACGGCAUGAGCCAUGUAAUCAACUGCUACCCCCUUCACUUUCACAGAAAUAUUAAUGAUACCGUUCUUUUCACCCCUCAAAUCCCUCAGCCUAUAACUCAAGAAAUGCAAAUAAUUUACAGGGGUAUAACCUCCCAAGAAGUCAGAAGCAGGAACCGUAGCUGUGCCAAUUACUCUAUUCGCUGAGCUAAUCCUGCAUUGCACUUCUAAGGUAAUAAACCCAGCAUGCAUUGGCAUCUCCAUUUCGAGUUUUUGAUUCCAGGAAGG